rnacentral:rRNA from 1 species
UACGAAGGGGGCUAGCGUUGCUCGGAAUUACUGGGCGUAAAGGGAGCGUAGGCGGACAGUUUAGUCAGAGGUGAAAGCCCAGGGCUCAACCCUGGAAUUGCCUUUGAUACUGACUGUCUUGAGUGUGGGAGAGGUGUGUGGAACUCCGAGUGUAGAGGUGAAAUUCGUAGAUAUUCGGAAGAACACCAGUGGCGAAGGCGACACACUGGCCCAUUACUGACGCUGAGGCUCGAAAGCGUGGGGAGCAAACAGG